UGAGGAAUAUUGGGUCAAUGGCCGGAAGGCUGAACCAGCCAUGCCGCGUGAAGGAAUAAGGUCCUAUGGAUUGUAAACUUCUUUUGUAUGGGAGCAAUAAGGGUUACGUGUAAUCCGAUGAGAGUACCAUACGAAUAAGCAUCGGCUAACUCCGUGCCAGCAGCCGCGGUAAUACGGAGGAUGCAAGCGUUAUCCGGAUUUUAUUGGGUUUAAAGGGUGCGUAGGCGGUAUGGUAAGUCAGUGGUGAAAUGUCUCCGCUCAACGGUGAAAGUGCCAUUGAUACUGUCGUACUUGAAUUCGGAUGCCGUGGGAGGAAUGUGUAGUGUAGCGGUGAAAUGCAUAGAUAUUACACAGAACACCGAUUGCGAAGGCAUCUCACGA
rnacentral:rRNA from 1 species